UAAAAUAGCUGGACCGA
rnacentral:misc_RNA from 1 species